UACGUAGGUGGCAAGCGUUGUCCGGAUUUACUGGGCGUAAAGGGCGUGCAGGCGGUUUGCUAAGUCUAGGGUGAAAGCUCCCGGCUUAACUGGGAGAGGUCCUUGGAUACUGGCAGACUUGAGGAGGGUAGAGGAGAGUGGAAUUCCCGGUGUAGUGGUGAUAUGCGUAGAUAUCGGGAGGAACACCAGUGGCGAAGGCGGCUCUCUGGGCCCUACCUGACGCUGAGACGCGAAAGCGUGGGGAGCGAACCGG
rnacentral:rRNA from 2 species